ACAGAGGUCCCAAGCGUUGUUCGGAUUCACUGGGCGUAAAGGGCUCGUAGGCGGCCAACUAAGUCGGAUGUGAAAUCCCCAGGCUCAACUUGGGAACUGCAUCCGAUACUGGAAGGCUUGAAUCCGGGAGAGGGAUGCGGAAUUCCAGGUGUAGCGGUGAAAUGCGUAGAUAUCUGGAGGAACACCGGUGGCGAAGGCGGCAUCCUGGACCGGCAUUGACGCUGAGGCGCGAAAGCCAGGGGAGCAAACGGGA
rnacentral:rRNA from 1 species